ensembl:snoRNA
AACACUCAUCAACCUAAGAGUCAUAGUUUCGCUAGCAGUGCUUUAAGCAGAAGUACACACAACAAAUGGAUCUCAUUGCUUUCUAAGGGUUGUGACUGUGCCCCUUAAAGUGAAUUUUGAGAAUCUCGGAGC